UUAUAGCGCAAGCGUUAGAACCAAAUUGCAAACAGGAAGUUGAUUGGCAAACAUAGAUGAAUAUUUCUCUAAUGUUCAAUGUUUUUAAGAUUGCAUAAUAUUCAGGACAAGGAAUUAAUUUCUUUUUUAAAAUAUUAGGGAAGACAAAAGGAACUGCUAAAAACAAUAAAAGCAGCUCCUAGGCUUAGAUAGGGUUUCUCCCGAAAGUAACGUGAGGCACAACUGUCUGUAGGAUUGACGCAGCUUUAGGGUAUAAAACAGAAAAUAAAAGGAGCAGCAUAUAAUUGGAGAUACGGUUACCAAACGAUGCAGUGAAGUCCCUGUACGAUCUUCCCUCCGUCCUCUAGGAAAGCUGCCAGGCACUGGCUUCACUUUGAUGAAUAGAAGCAGCUGGUAUCUCAAGAAUGGCUAUUAAUCUACUCAUAAGAUGAAAGUAUAAUCACAGAAGAGAAACGCGCGUCUUCUCAAGAGGAAAGAGAAAAAAAAGCACCCUUGUUAGAACGGGCUUCCUUGCGUUUCAGAAUAAGGAAUACACAAAGUUGAAGGAAAGAGAGGAUAAUCAUGCUAUGAUAAUAGCACAACUGUUUGGAAGUGUGUUUUUUUAACUCAGAAUGAAGAUACUGCCUACCUCAAGUGUGACAAAAAAAAGGGAGAUAGAUUUUAGAAGAAAACGAUAAGUUCCCUCCUCUGAGGUGCUCUUAGAGUAGUAGAAAUAAAAUAUUUGAACACACCUGACA
rnacentral:lncRNA from 1 species